CGGGGCAGCCUGGGACUCGUAGUCUCGGCCCGGGGUCGCAACGGCUCCGGCGCUGGACGUACAUUGAUCGUUUUGCCCUUCUAGAAACCAAGGGUCCUCUCCCCAGACCUCCAGUUCUGAAAUGAAGAUCUCGACUGAGAAGUCGCUAUUGAGUCAAUAGAAAACUGAUUUGCAAAGGAGGAAAGAACGUGGCUUGCUCUGGAGCGUCCGGUCGGCUCUGAAGAACUCUGCUCAGGGGAAGGGUCUAUCUCAUGUGCAGACAAAGAAGGCUGCACGGGACUGUGGUGGGAGCAUUAUGUUUGCCCCAAAUGAGCAAGUUUGGUGAAGUUUCUCCAUCUGCAGAAGCCAUUGCUAGGAUGCUCUCGUUACAAAGAACUUUUCCUUCCUCUGCCAUAGCCAUAGAAGGAGCGUUCUCAGUGUUUCACCAUUAGAGCCAACAGGAGCAGCCUUUUCAGGAAGCCAGGCCUCACUGCCUGGUGGACAGUCAGACUCCAGGACUCGACAAUGCUAUCUGCCAGGUUUGGUCAUGCAGACCUGUGAUUCUGAGACAGAGGAUCAUAAGUUCAAGGCCUGCAUGGGCUGCAAAGUGAAUUCAAAGCCAGCUCAGGGAACACAGUAAGACCCUGCCUGAAAAAAUAGAGCUAGGAAUAUAGCCCAGUAGUAGAGCACAUGCCUGUAUGUGCAAGGCCCUAUCCUCAAUCACAGCCCUGCAACAACAAACCAAACUACUGCUGCUACUCCGACCAGACAUGGCUUCUGCUGCAGCCAUGAGCUCUUGGCUGACUCUGGACUCACCACUCCAGAUGUUGGGGGGAAAUUAAGCCCUGCAAAUCAGUCUUCUUAUGGUUCCAAGGAAGGUUACUGGUUUUCAUUCUGUCCAGCUGCUGCUUCUAAGAAGAGUGACAACUUCCAAAAGACAUUUCAGCUAAAAUCAGAAAUGCUGACCUAAAAUUCUGAAGUGAUUAAAAUUCUGCUAGGCUCCUGAGGAGGCUGCAGGUCUUGAAGUCCAGUCAUAGAUGACACUGCAUCCACAGGAAACCCAGUGUCCCACACAAACAGCUUGGGGUCCUGAAUCAGACAGGCCUGGGCAGGGUCCCAGAGAGAUGACUCUGAGCAAUUCAGUGUUACCAUUUCCUUUUGUUAGCUGGGAAGAGUCAGUGAGGUGACUCCCAAUCAUACUGAGCUCUGGCCCACCGUUGAGUACUGGAUACAAAGCCCCUCCUCAGGCCCCAGGCCCAGGUGAAGUCUCUGUAGAACCCACUUAGAUGUACCCAACUUCUUUCUAGAUUGCUCAUCUGCUCUCUUUUUGGUCGGCACAGUAGCAGAGCCCUCCUCCACUAUUCCUGAGCCAACCUAACCCUGCCCUGGUACUGACGGCAAAGUGAGUCAUGAGUUUUCACCCUGUCCUUUGUCAAGUAACACAUCUGCUGGCAGAGCUGGGGUAAGUGUGAAAUGUGGAAGUCCCAGGCUCCUCACCUCUCUGAGCCUCAGUUUCUGGUGGAAGUGGGGCUAGGACUGCAAAGCAUCCUUAGUAUGUUAGAAGGGGACACAGACAAGGCUUCUAAGAGAAAGGCCAGCUUCACACGAUUGCCAGAAACCCUCAGUUUCUGUGGGAAACAGGGAUGACAGGACUGGACAGGGGUCUGGGCUCUGUUUGUGUAAAACAGCUCCUUUAGUGCUCACUUUGCAACACAAGGAGCUGAGUUUGAUCCUCAGAAUCCAUAAAUGUGUUGAGCAUGGUGAUAUGCAUUUGUAAUCCCAGGAUUGAGGAGGGGAAGAUGAGGACCCCUAGGACGUGCUGACCAGCCAGUCUAGCCUAAAUGGAGAGCUUUAGGAUGAGAAAUUCUGCCUAAAAGAAGGUGGAUAGCUUUCCUAAGACUAAGACCCAAGGUUGUCCUCGGGCCUCUGUGUACACAAGCGAACACUUGCGUGUGAGCAAACUACAAAAGGGGGGUGGAGAGAUGUUUUAAGCACACACACACAGCCACAAAUAUGUUAUUUUUUUAAUAAAAGACCCACAUACAUGUUAUUUUAUUUUUUUUAGUAAAAGCCUCUGAUACAAGGCCCCAGUGUAGUGCAUGCGUAUCAAUGACCAUCAAGGUUAACAGUCACCAUGAUUACCAACACACCGUGCUAUAGUCUGACCUAGUACAGAGACCAACUCCUCAAUCUGAAUGGAAUGGCCUAUGGCUUAUGCCGCCUGGCUCAUGAUGACUUAGGACAUUUCAGCAUCUGACAACGAACACAUGAUGAGUGCUAAGUGUGGUGAGUGAGUGAGGCUCUAGGUCCUUAGUGUGUUAGAAGCGGACAAAACCAGAAGCCCUUCCACAGAUGAACAUGACCUCUAUCUAGAUCUGCCAACUCUCUAUCAAGCACGUGCUCCUUUACUGAUCAGGUGAAGCACCUCUGGAAUCAUGAAGUGUUCACACGAGAUACACUGUGUAGUUAUACUCCCAGGCCAACUCCCUCUGCAAACCAACCUUGACCUACAUAAAUUCUGGGAAGUGAUACAGUCAAAGGGUAGACAAGUCUCCCCUGUCAUGUCUGACUUACAGAGUAUGGCCAAAGAGGAAUUCAAUGAGAAAGUCAGUGAAACCUCUAGAAUCUGAGUUUACUUGGUUUAAUAUUCAAUGAAUUGAUAUUUAAAAAAUAGUUGUUAAAAGCAUUUGUUUUCUCCAUGCUCUCAGUCACAGACUGCUGCCUGAAGGUGAGUUCAGGAAAAGAGGACAUUUAGUCACCAGCUAAUUAAGAAACCCUGUCUCAUAAGAAAAGCAAUGUCUACAGCCAUACUGCCCUGAACACCUGAUCUAUGUCAGGAAGUGGUGGUGGGAACCAGUGUUCAGUUCCAUUCUGUGUAGAGAGCUGCCUCCUCUUCGGUCAGACAAAAGGCAGUCCAAGCAGGGUGGAUAUGCUGGGUAUGCCUGGACCCUAGGGCAACAAGCAUCUAGAGCCCGGGCCUUAGGAAGAGAAGACGCCUGCCCUAGGAAACAUGGAUGCCAGGUUGCCCACCUCCCAGGACAGCCCAUGGCACCAACAGAGCUGGCCACUGACUGGCACUGGUAAUGCACUAAUUGGUCAGUAAACAUCUGCUGACAGAACCCAAAGGGUCCCCCAUUACUCUUCUUCUCCAACUCUUCCCACAGCCCCAAGCAGGACUACCUACCCAGUCAAAGCCCCAACAAGUACUAAUGAACAGCUGCCAAAACAGAGAUCUUUGCACCCAGAUGCCAUUCUUACCACCAAGAUGGAUCUUCACCAGAAUGUGACAAAAGAAUUUCAGCUCAUACACCAAUAACCAACAGAAGCCAUGGCUCAGGGGUAAAGUGACUAGUUAUUGCCCAUUAACUAAAGAGCAUCAUUGCAGAGAUUAUGCAGAGCUGAGCACACCAGGAUCUUACAAUGUCAUCUGUCAACCCAUCUGUUCCUGUAAACCAAAGCACUAUGCUACAUAACUUCCCUUUCUGUCCCUAUCAGAGUUCAAGUACUUCAGGACUGUGGAAUGAUCUGAGGCUGUGCAUAAAAUAUUCCUGUUUCUCAGUACUCAAAGUAGUGAGAAAACAUCUCACCAGUUUCCCAGGUCAGGAUGAACCACAGUGAAGAAGGCUGACUAGAGAGCCUUGGAAGUUACUAGAAUGUAUCUCCCGACUCAGAAGUGUUCCAUCUCCUGCCAAUACUCCACAGACGCUUCCUGGUCAGAUUCCCAAACCACAUACAGGCCCUUCAGUGUGACCUGGAGAGUAAUCAUUCUGCCAAAGCCCUGGAAGGCUUCCAGGGACAGACAACUGCCCAGGUAGAGACGUCUCCAAACCACAACAUCAACCAAAAAGCUGGUCACUCCUAUCUCGUAAUCAAGCUCACACUGACUCCCCUGCACUUGGAAACUACUUCCUUUAACUGAGAAGGGACAACACUGGCAACAUCCCCACCAUCAAUAAAGAGGCACUGGUCCUCCUGGGUCCAGACUUCCCUUCACAGCAGCAUCUCCCUAAGUGUCCAGGAGACAGCCUAAGCAAGGGAGGUGGUGAAGAGCAGUCAAAUCGGGACUUCUGCCAGAGCCCCUACAGGGAGGGGGCCUGUCAAGGGCUGAUCUAUAAUACUGCAUCAUGACCAAGAACAGUCAGCAGGAAUGGACCGAGAGGUACCCAGGAGCCAUUUGCCUCGGCCCAACAGAGUUGCACUGAACUGUAUCUCAGAAAUAAAAUGGUAAAGUCCCCUGAAAAGGGAACACUUCAUUAAAAAAAUAAUAAUACAGAAAAA